rnacentral:rRNA from 1 species
AUUGAACGCUGGCGGCAGGCCUAACACAUGCAAGUCGAGCGGAUGAAGGGAGCUUGCUCCUGUAUUCAGCGGCGGACGGGUUAGUAAUGCCUAGGAAUCUGCCUGGUAGUGGGGGAUAACGUCCGUUAACGGGCGCUAAUCCCGCAUACGUCCUGAGGGAUAAAGUGGGGGUUCAUCGGACCUCACGCUAUCAUCUGAGCCUAGGUCGGAUUAUCUAGUUUGUGGGGUAAAGGCCUACCAAGGCGACGAUCCGUAACUGGUCUGAGAGGAUGAUCAGUCAAACUGGAAAUGAGACAAGGUCCAGACUCCUACGGGAGGCAGCAGUGGGGAAUAUUGGACAAUGAGAGAAAGACUGAUGCAGCAAUGCCGCGUGAGUGAAGAAGGUAUUAGGAUUGUAAAGAAAUUUAAGGUGGGAGGAAGGGCAGGAAGUUAAUACGUUGCUGGUUUGACGUUACCAACAGAAUAAGCACCGGCUAAAUUCGUG